rnacentral:rRNA from 1 species
UUAGAGUUUGAUCCUGGCUCAGGACGAACGCUGGCGGCGUGCCUAAUACAUGCAAGUCGAGCGGACAGAUGGGAGCUUGCUCCCUGAUGUUAGCGGCGGACGGGUGAGUAACACGUGGGUAACCUGCCUGUAAGACUGGGAUAACUCCGGGAAACCGGGGCUAAUACCGGAUGCUUGAUUGAACCGCAUGGUUCAAUUAUAAAAGGUGGCUUUUAGCUACCACUUACAGAUGGACCCGCGGCGCAUUAGCUAGUUGGUGAGGUAACGGCUCACCAAGGCAACGAUGCGUAGCCGACCUGAGAGGGUGAUCGGCCACACUGGGACUGAGACACGGCCCAGACUCCUACGGGAGGCAGCAGUAGGGAAUCUUCCGCAAUGGACGAAAGUCUGACGGAGCAACGCCGCGUGAGUGAUGAAGGUUUUCGGAUCGUAAAACUCUGUUGUUAGGGAAGAACAAGUACCGUUCGAAUAGGGCGGUACCUUGACGGUACCUAACCAGAAAGCCACGGCUAACUACGUGCCAGCAGCUGCGGUAAUACGUAGGUGGCAAGCGUUGUCCGGAAUUAUUGGGCGUAAAGCGCGCGCAGGCGGUUUCUUAAGUCUGAUGUGAAAGCCCCCGGCUCAACCGGGGAGGGUCAUUGGAAACUGGGGAACUUGAGUGCAGAAGAGGAGAGUGGAAUUCCACGUGUAGCGGUGAAAUGCGUAGAGAUGUGGAGGAACACCAGUGGCGAAGGCGACUCUCUGGUCUGUAACUGACGCUGAGGCGCGAAAGCGUGGGGAGCGAACAGGAUUAGAUACCCUGGUAGUCCACGCCGUAAACGAUGAGUGCUAAGUGUUAGAGGGUUUCCGCCCUUUAGUGCUGCAGCAAACGCAUUAAGCACUCCGCCUGGGGAGUACGGUCGCAAGACUGAAACUCAAAGGAAUUGACGG